rnacentral:snoRNA from 1 species
AAUUAGUCCUCUCUAAUGUAAAAUAAUGAUCUUAUCAAAUUGUUUUGCCUCGCUUGUGGACAAUAUCAAAAUUUCUAUUAUCCUAGCGUCUAACUUUGACGAAUGGUGUGAUGCUCGAGAAACAUAGAAAAACAAUU